AACGAACGCUGGCGGCAUGCCUAACACAUGCAAGUCGAACGAGACCUUCGGGUCUAGUGGCGCACGGGUGCGUAACGCGUGGGAACCUGCCCUUAGGUUCGGAAUAACUCCCCGAAAGGGGUGCUAAUACCGGAUAAUGUCUUCGGACCAAAGAUUUAUCGCCUUUGGAUGGGCCCGCGUUGGAUUAGCUAGUUGGUAGGGUAAAAGCCUACCAAGGCGACGAUCCAUAGCUGGUCUGAGAGGAUGAUCAGCCACACUGGGACUGAGACACGGCCCAGACUCCUACGGGAGGCAGCAGUGGGGAAUAGUGGACAAUGGGCGAAAGCCUGAUCCAGCAAUGCCGCGUGAGCGAUGAAGGCCUUAGGGUUGUAAAGCUCUUUUACCCGGGAUGAUAAUGACAGUACCGGGAGAAUAAGCUCCGGCUAACUCCGUG
rnacentral:rRNA from 1 species